CCCUUGAAAAAUCCGGAGGACCGAGUACCAUCCACGCCCGGUCGUACUCAUAAACCGCAUCAGUCCUCCAGGUGAACAGCCUCUGGCCAAUGGAACAUAGGCAAGGAAGUCGCAAAACGGAUCCGUAACUCGGGAAAAGAUGGCUCUGAGGGUUGGGCUGGGGGUCCCGGCCCGAACCCGUCGGCUGCCGGCGACUGCUCGAGUGCUCACCGGCGAGAGGCGGGCCGCCCGUGCCGGCCGGACGACCGGGAACGGUUUCUUCGGCCUUCCCGGGCGUCGAACAAAACCGACUCGAACUGACGGAGCAAGGGGAAUCCGACUGUGUUAAUUAAAAACAAAAGCAUUGCGAUGGUCCCUGCGGAUGCUGACGCAAGUGAUUUUCUUGCCCAGCUGCUCUGAAUGUUCAAAGUAAGAAAUUCAACCAACGCGGUAAACGCGGGAGUAACUAUGACUCUCUUAAGGUAGCCCAAAUGCCUCGUCAUCUAAUUAGUGACGCGCAUGAAUGGUAUUAACGAAUUCCCACUGUCCCUGGUCUACUAUCCAGCGAAACCACAACCAAGGGAACGGCUUGCGGAAUCAGCGGGGGAAAAGAAACCCUGUUGAGCUUGACCUAGUCCGACUUGUGAAAAAUGACUUGAGAGUAGAUAAGUGGGACCUUCGGGUCGCAAGUGAAAAUACCACACUUUUAACUUAUUUUACUUAUUCCGUGAGGUCGGAAGCGGGGCAUUGGCCCCUCUUUUUGCGCUCCAAGGCCCUGUUUGCAGACCAUCCGGGCGGGAAGACAUUGUCAGGUUGGGCGAGUUUGGCUGGCGGCCACAUCUGUUAAAAGAUAACGCAGGUGUCCUAAGAUGAGCUCAACGAGAAAACAGAAAUCUCGUGUGAACAAAGGUAAAGCCGUUUAGAUGCUGAUUUCCAAGUACGAAUACGAACCGUUGAAAGCGUGGCCUAUCGACCUUUAGAUCUUCGGAUUUGAACAGCUAGAGGUGUCAGAAAAGUUACCACAGGAUUAACUGGCUUGUGGCAAGCCAAGCGUUCAUAGCGACGUUGCUUUUUGAAUCCUUCGAGUCGGCUCUUCCUAUCAUUUGAAGCCAAGAAUUCACCAAGUGUGAUGGUUCACCCAACCAAUAGGAACGUGACGGGUUUAGACCGUCGGUGAGACAGGUGAGUUUUACCCUACGUGGAUGACCGUGCCGAACGAUAGUAAUUAACCUAGUACGAGAGAACCGUUUGAUUCCACACAAUUGUCAUCGCCUUGUUGAAAAAGCCAGUGGCGCGAAAGGCUACCGUGUGCGAUUGAUGACUGACGCUCUAAGUCAGAAUCCAAGCUAGCAACGGCGCCUGUGCCCGCGCUCGCCCCGACCCACAUGAGGCGUUCGCGCCCCAAGGCCCCAUCCAUUGGCUAAGCCUGCCCGGCCGAUGAGCCGCGGUAGGCCGCCUCAAGCUCCCUUCCUGCACGGCCGGGCGAAUCUUUGCAGACGACUUAAAUACGCGAACGGGGCAUUUAAGUGGCAGAGUGGCCUUGCUGCACAUCCACUUGAGAUCCAGCCCCA
rnacentral:rRNA from 1 species